rnacentral:lncRNA from 1 species
AAUACUCUAAUUCCAUUUAUAUGAUGUUCAAAGCUAAUUUAUGGCAAUAAAAGAAUUGUGGUUGUCUGGGCAGGGUGAGGGUGGGUUAACUGGAAAGGAUCACAAGGAAUCUUCUGGAAAGAUGAAAAUGUUCUUUAUCUUGAGUCAGGUGGUGGUUACACGAUUGAGUACAUUCAGCAGUGGGUUGAGCCCAGUUUUCACGUCCUGAGAGGCAAUUCUUACCUAAUCAGGAUAAUUUUGUGAGCCAGUUGUUAAACCACCGCUAACUUGAAAUUGGCCAUGGUGGGAGUAUUGAAACCAUGAAAAUCAUCAAAUGCUACAAAUCAGGCUUUGGCUUCUUUCUAGACAGCCAGCUAACCAGCACAUCCCUGAAUACAUUUGUCAAACUCUAUCAAAGUAUACACUUAAGAUUCUCGAAGUUUCCUGUAUAUAAAUGAGCAAAAAGCCGGGGGGAAGGAUAAGCUAGUGUCUUCAGUUAGUGAUCUGGUGCAGGUGUUCGUUCAUGAUCUUCCCGCCUUCGUGUGCCUCUUCAAGCCUUGUGGGUUCUGUGUUCUAAAAUCCGGGGUCACCGUGACUACAGCAAACAGCUGGCUUAGCACCGGGGACCCUUGAAGCUGUCGAGCUUAUUUGGUUCACAUAUAACUACUUUUAAUGCAAUAUGUUUUUUCAAACUGUGAAAAGGACACAUGGGCCACGUCAAAUUCAAAUAAUGUGAAAAGGAGAGAGAGGGUGCCCGUUCUGGACUGCAGCCUGGGCCCCCCCAAGGGCAGCAGCGGGAAAGCAGAAACUUCAGGAAUGUGUAUCAAGAUGGCCGAUCGCAGUCACUUCACGUGGUUGCCGCUAUCCAUUCGUAUUUCUAUCGAACACGCUUCUUGAAGUGGGAUGGGUCAG